rnacentral:rRNA from 1 species
GAUGAACGCUGGCGGCGUGCCUAAUACAUGCAAGUCGAGCGAAUGGAUUAAGAGCUUGCUCUUAUGAAGUUAGCGGCGGACGGGUGAGUAACACGUGGGUAACCUGCCCAUAAGACUGGGAUAACUCCGGGAAACCGGGGCUAAUACUGGAUAAUAUUUUGAACUGCAUGGUUCAAAAUUGAAAGGCGGCUUCGGCUGUCACUUAUGGACGGACCCGCGUCGCAUUAGCUAGUUGGUGAGGUAACGGCUCACCAAGGCAACGAUGCGUAGCCGACCUGAGAGGGUGAUCGGCCACACUGGGACUGAGACACGGCCCAGACUCCUACGGGAGGCAGCAGUAGGGAAUCUUCCGCAAUGGACGAAAGUCUGACGGAGCAACGCCGCGUGAGUGAUGAAGGCUUUCGGGUCGUAAAACUCUGUUGUUAGGGAAGAACAAGUGCUAGUUGAAUAAGCUGGCACCUUGACGGUACCUAGCCAGAAAGCCACGGCUAACUACGUGCCAGCCGCCGCGGUAA